UAGAGCGUAGGGUUGGAGCUGCGUGUGGACCGUGUGGCAUUUGGCCCGGGUACCGGUGUUCCGAUCAGCUCCUGAGGGGAGCGGUUGCUGUGUUGUGUAAGGAGACGGCUAGUUCCCCCGGAUCGCUGCUGUCGGAGGUGGGGAGGAGGCCUUAUGCUUCAGGGAGGAGCGUUCCGGUGACUCAGUCGCUCUCCUUGCGGCGGUCAGUCAGGGGCGGACCCGCGGCCUAUGUCAUGACAAGGCGCUAAUCUUCGCUGGGACAUAAUUGUCGCUCUCUGCCCAGGCCGAACUUCAGGGAGCAGGAGGUCUUUAACACAGAGAAACAAAACCGUCUUCGGUGUGAAGUAGCAGCUGUGUAGCGGUUUUGAGGAGCUAAGUACUUCUGAUCUCUGUCUAAACUCCUAACUGAGCCCUGCUUUAGGAGGUUUAGGAUCUGUGUGUAAGAGUACUGAAAUAAGCCUCAGUGCUAAUACCUUUGCUGAUGCUACAGCACAUGCAGCUCGCUCUAGAACACACCUGCCAUUCACAGGUGGAAGCAGGCCUGUUGUCCUGCGAGUUAGUGCACAACAUAGGUACAAAACAGCUAGUGUGCUACCUCAGCUGAGAUAUGCUGCCUGCCUGGAGAUAAUACUAUGAGGUUUCACGGUGUAAACAGAGUGGCUUCCAUGGACCUGCUGUGAGCAAUGCACUACAGCCUCAGCCUGUGAACUGCAAGUUGGCAUCUGGCAUUCUGCUAAAGCUCCCAAUCUGUUCUGCAGUGGAGGCCAAGCUUCAUGGAAAAUCCUUAGUCCUCAUGCUUGUAUCUGUAUAUUGACCAUUCCAUUAAAGACAUGCUGGUAUUUUUGUAAAGCAUAAUUUAAUGUGACUACAAGAUAUAAAAAACGUGUGUAAGAUUCUAAACAUCCGUUGUUGGCACUGAAAACAUUUUGGAUAUUGAAAUUCUUUUUCAAUUUUUAUUAUAUAUUUUCCCACCUUCUGGAAAACCUGAGUAUUGUUUUAGCUGCCUUUUCCAUUAAAAUAUCCCUUUAAUUGCCUGGAAAUGUAUCCUGAAUUUGAUUCUGUUCCAAACACUUGUUCAGCAAAACUGAUGAUUACCUAUUUCUGGACCACAGUUUAUUACAAGAAAAACAUAAAUGAACCCUCUGUGGAAUUUUCUAAGAUUUUUGGAGAGGAAGUGCAAUAUCCUCUUUGUGGCACAACAUGGAUAGAUAUUUGAGUCCCAGUUUUGCUACUAACUUUCCUGUGUAACUUUGGACAAGUUGCUAAAUUUCUGCUGCCUGUUUUCUUGCUUUGUAAAAGAAGCUAAUAUUAACUUGCCACCCACAAUCUGACAAAUCUAAGAGACUGUUUGCAAAGUACUCUGAGAAGGUCAGAUGGAAAAUGUUACAGAAGUCCAAGCCUCGGCUAGCCAAAGAGGAUAUUUACAAUAGCUUCCUAUUUUAUGUAGUGAAAUAAAAAUGUUAUAGUGUAUAACCAGAUGAAACCAAGACUGAUCUAAAGUUUAAUGCAGGAGACAUUUUUUGACCUUUCAACAGAAAUUACAUAAGCACAGUUAGGUUAUAAAUAGUCUUUAGUUUUCCUUCUCUUUGUCUAACACUCAAACACAGGGUUAGUUGUUUGUUAUGAAGAGAUAGAGCAAUGCUUUAGAGUGGAAACAAUUGUUCACUGUUCUUACUCAUAGAAUCCCUAUAAUGUUUGUAACUAGCAUUUGCUGCUUUUCUUAGCACCUUUUAUCUUCAAAAUGCUACAGAAACAAACUUUCCAGGCCUGAAAAUGACAACAUAGAAAAACAAAACACUCACCAGCCCAUUCCAAGUGUGAAAGUUUCUUCUUUCCUGAUUUGAUACAAGUCUGAAGAGCAAAAAGCCAUUGCUUAACUAUGGUUCAACUGGCAUGUAGACACUUGUGCAUUAUUUCUUAUUUUUAUUAUGAUUCCUCAGCAAUAAGACAUGAAAUGUGUCAACUCUUAAAGUAUUUUUAUUAGCACUAAGGGUAAUGAUACUAAAUUCUUCAUAGAAUUAUGUAUGUGUGCAUAUUUCCAAGUAUGCUUAUUUUCAACAUUUGUCAUUUUCUUGAACAGACAAUAAAUGGUUAACUAAUAGCAA